UACAGAGGUCUCAAGCGUUGUUCGGAUUCAUUGGGCGUAAAGGGUGCGUAGGCGGCCUGUUAAGUCGGGUGUGAAAGCCCUGGGCUCAACCCAGGAAGUGCACUCGAAACUGACGGGCUUGAAUAUGGAAGAGGGUCGCGGAAUUCCCGGUGUAGAGGUGAAAUUCGUAGAUAUCGGGAGGAACACCAGUGGCGAAGGCGGCGACCUGGGCCAAUAUUGACGCUGAGGUGCGAAAGCGUGGGGAGCAAACAGG
rnacentral:rRNA from 1 species